CAUGGUCCAAGCAGUUCUUUAAAUGAAUACAGUUUGUGUGUUGUUAUUUUGGGCAUGAGCUAGCCAAGCGGCCGGGGUGUUGGGGAUGCAGCCCCGCCGCCGCUCUUAUUUCAACAGAUGGCGCCCAGACGUGUGGCUAACUGAAUCUACAAAAAGCCUGAGAAAGCUUGGGAAAGAGUAAAGCAUGUUUUCUUGGUAGCAGCAGUUUCUCGGGUCUCCUCUGCUUGUUAGAAGCAAGCAAGCACUCUCAUCUAAGAGAGGCUUCCUGACUCAGCUUCAGCUGCAAAACCCUGCAGCUCAUUAAGAGGUCCUGCCACAAAACACUUAAAUGGUGUUGGUGAAAAGCUGAACGCAUGCUUUUCGGUUUUCAGCCGUAGCAGGAAAAAAGCUGCGCUGUUCAAAAAUGCCGGCUUUCUGGGCUGUCCUGCCACGGCAAACUCUGACUCUUUUACGCAGGCGGUUCGUGUGGUUUGCAAGCACAGGCUGCUGAAGCUCGCUUGCUGGCAGGGACCUUGAAAUGCCAUAGAGUUGUGGCAGUAAACGUGGCUACAACCGGUACCUCAGCCAUGAGGCCGGAAAGCUAAGGAAUGGACUGGAUCUAGCUGGCAAAGCCACGGCUUUAAUCCUACUCAUAUUGCUCAGUAAUUUAAAGGCUCGUGUGGUCAGAAAAAGAGAGAUAUACAGUAAAGAGAUUCAAAGACAAAGAAAAUGUUUAAAUGAUUUACAGUGUGUUAAAAAUAUAUGCAAGCUAAAAGUUAAAAGUUCUUAAAAAAAAAAAAGAAAAAGAGAAGUUGUGUGUGGUAGUACACGCCUUUAAUCCCAACACUUGGGAGGCAGGGGGAGAUUGACCUCUGUGACUUCAAGGUGUGGUAGCACACGCCUUUAAUCCCAGUGCCUAGAAGGCAGAGACAAACAGAUCUCUGUGAGUUCAAGGUGUAGUAGCAAACACCUUUAAUCCCAAUGCCUGGGAGGCAGAGACAGGCGGAUCUCUGAGAGUUCAAGGAGAGCCUGGUCUACAGAGUUAUUCCAGGUCAAAGAGAUACAGAGAAUAUAAAAUUAAAAAUAAACGAAAUAGAGGUUAAAAUAAAGCGUACAAAGAUGGAAAAUACACAGAGAAUCUUGAUACUGUAUACUAUUAUGCUCUCUUUGAAUUGUUUGAAUGCUGAGGAAGGAGCAACAGCUGCCAAAAGAUAUUUGUUUAUAAAUGCUGCUGAACUAAUCCAACGUAGAGAUUUUGAUGCCUUGACUUUGAAAUUUGGAUCUAAGGACAUGAUACUUUGGAAAGGAGUUUCUUUUUUUGUUUUCACAGAGGAUGAGACCCUGUUCAUUUCUUCUAUUCCGAUAUGGUAUGAUGGACCACGCCCUCCUGAACGGUUGCUGUGAAUACCUUCAGAAAAUUGCUUCGCUCAACUGCCAACUGAGAUGAAACUAGCACACAGGUUAUACCAUGAAAGACCUAAUUAACGACGCCCCCAUUCAGCAGGAAGCAGUUUGGAGAGAAAAAACUGCGCCCAUGUUCCCAAAUAUGGUUUAUAAAUGUUCUUUUACAUUUAAAGGGGGAGAUGAUAUAGGACUUUUCAUGACAAUGAGACACUCUGCUCCUGGCAGCACCAAUCUACUUCAAGAGGAAGAUGGGCAUCGAAGAGGAUCCUUAUGGAGUUUGAUAGCCAUUUGGGCAAGAAACUGCUCUUGCCUGGACUAUUGCAUAAACUGGACACAGAGAACCCGCAGAGAGAGGACUGCUGAACUUGCCUAAAGAACCUUCAUCUGGAGAUGGAUGGAGAUAGAGACAGAGACCCACACUGGAGCACCGGACUGAGCUCCCAAUGUCCCAAGGAGGAGCAGAAGGAGGGAAAAUAUGAGCAAAGAAGUCAGGACCACGAGGGGUGCACCCACCCACGGAGACAGUGGGGCUGAUCUAUUGUGAGCUCACCAAGGCCAGCUGGACUGCGACUGAAAAAGCAUGGGAUAAAACCGGACUCUCUGAAUAUGGCGGACAAUGAGGGCUGCUGAGAAGCCAAGGACAAUGCCACUGGGUUUUGAUCCUACUUCAUGUUCUGGCUUUGUGGGAACCUAGCCAGUUUGGAUGUCCACCUUCCUAGACCAGGAUGGAGCGGGGAGAACUUUGGA